GGGGGAUUAGCUCAGUUGGGAGAGCGCUUGAAUGGCAUUCAAGAGGUCAGGGGUUCAAGUCCCCUAUCCUCCAC
rnacentral:tRNA from 1 species